GGAGAGGUGCCGGAGUGGUCGAACGGGGCGGUCUCGAAAACCGUUGUGGGCGAAAGCCCACCCAGGGUUCGAAUCCCUGUCUCUCCGCCA
rnacentral:tRNA from 1 species